rnacentral:rRNA from 1 species
UACGUAGGGUGCAAGCGUUAAUCGGAAUUACUGGGCGUAAAGCGUGCGCAGGCGGCUUUGCAAGCCAGAUGUGAAAUCCCCGGGCUUAACCUGGGAACUGCGCUUGUUACUGGCAGGCUUGAGUGUGGCAGAGGGGGGUGGAAUUCCACGUGUAGCAGUGAAAUGCGUAGAGAUGUGGAGGAACACCGAUGGCGAAGGCAGCUCGCUGGGACGUUACUGACGCUGAGACGCGAAAGCGUGGGGAGCAAACAGG